rnacentral:tRNA from 18 species
GUCUCAGUAGCUCAGCUGGAUAGAGCAACGCCCUUCUAAGGCGUCGGUCGGGAGUUCGAAUCUCUCCUGGGACACUA